rnacentral:rRNA from 1 species
UACUACAGACCAUACCUCCUCUUCAAAGCCUGAUGUCAUAAGGCCUCAGAAGCUAAACAAGACCGGGCCUGGUUAGUGCUUGGAUGGGAGACCGCUGGGAAUACCAGGUGCCACAGUGGGAU